rnacentral:rRNA from 1 species
UAUCAACUUUCGAUGGUAGUGUACCUGACUACCAUGGUGAUGACGGGUAACGGAGGAUAAGGGUUCGACUCCGGAGAAGGGGCCUGGGAAAUGGCCACUACGUCUAAGGAUGGCAGCAGGCGCGCAAAUUACCCACUCUCAACAUGAGGAGGUAGUGACGAGAUAUAACGAGACUGUUCUCACAUGAGGCCAGUUAUUGGAAUGGGUACAAUUUAAACCCUUUAACGAGUAUCUAUGAGAGGGCAAGUCUGGUGCCAGCAGCCGCGGUAAUUCCAGCUCUCAGAAUGCAUAGAAUUAUUGCUGCGGUUAAAAAGCUCGUAGUUGGAUCUGUGUUGGCCGCCCGGUCUGCCCCUCGUGGUAUGCACUGGUGCGGUCGGCUUUUCUGUCGGAAUGCCUCACAGCGUUGGCCUUCAUCGGCUGGCGCUGCGGGUCCGGCAAGUUUACUUUGAACAAAUCAGAGUGCUUCAAACAGGCGUCUCGCCUGAAUGUUCGUGCAUGGAAUAAUAGAAGAGGAUCACGGUCCGAUUUUAUUGGUUUUGCUGACCGAGAUAAUGGUUAACAGAGACAAACGGGGCCAUUCGUAUUGCUGCGUGAGAGGUGAAAUUCUUGGACCGUAGCAAGACGGACUACAGCGAAAGCAUUGGCAAGAAUGUCUACAUUAAUCAAGAACGAAAGUCAGAGGUUCGAAGGCGAUCGGAUACCGCCCUAGUUCUGACCGUAAACUAUGCCAACUAGCGAUCCGCCGGCGGAUUCUUUCGCCCUGGUGGGGAGCUUCCCGGAAACGAAAGUCUUCCGGUUCCGGGGGAAGUAUGGUUGCAAAGCUGAAACUUAAAGGAAUUGACGGAAGGGCACCACCAGGAGUGGAGCCUGCGGCUUAAUUUGACCCAACACGGGGAAACUCACCCGGCCCGGACACCGUAAGGAUUGACAGAUUGAUAGCUUUUUCAUGAUUCGGUGGAUGGUGGUGCAUGGCCGUUCUUAGUUCGUGGAGCGAUUUGUCUGGUUUAUUCCGAUAACGAGCGAGACUCUGGCCUACUAAAUAGUUGACGCAUUGCUAUUGUGCGCACAACUUCUUAGAGGGAUUUUCGGUGUUCAGCCGCACGAAAUUGAGCAAUAACAGGUCUGUGAUGCCCUUAGAUGUCUGGGGCUGCACGCGCGCUACACUGGCAAAAUCAGCGUGCUUGUCCUUCCCCGAAAGGGGUUGGUAAACCCGUGAAAAUUUGCCGUGAUUGGGAUCGGACAUUGCAAUUAUUGUCCGUGAACGAGGAAUUCCUUGUAGGGGCGAGUCAUCAACUCGCUCUGAAUACGUCCCUGCCCUUUGUACACACCGCCCGUCGCUGCCCGGGACUGAGCCAUUUCGAGAAACUCGGGGAUUGUUGGCUUGUCAGCUUUCGGACUGCCUUGCCGAUGAGAACCGAUUUAAUCGCAGUGGCUUGAACCGGGCAAAAGUCGUAACAAGGUA